GACGUAGGUGGCAAGCGUUGUUCGGAAUCACUGGGCAUAAAGCGCACGUAGGCGGCCAAGUAAGUCAGGUGUGAAAUACCUCGCCUCAACCGAGGAACUGCGCCUGAUACUGCUUGGCUUGAGGUCCGGAGGGGAGAGUGGAAUUCCCGGUGGAGCGGUGAAAUGCGUAGAGAUCGGGAAGAACGCCGGCGGCGAAAGCGACUCUCUGGUCGGAAUCUGACGCUGAGGUGCGAAAGCUAGGGGAGCAAACGGG
rnacentral:rRNA from 1 species